AUGGAUGGUGUUGCACCGGUAAAAGUAAAGAAAACUAUGAGCAAACCGAAAACACCAUGGAGAACCACCAUGGCCCCGACCACCCCAAGGACGCACAUCUACACCAAAACACCAUGUGGAUUGCAGCCCUGGAGGAUGGUGCAAGCACAGUACUCCAAGGCACCAGAGACAUACUCCACAUACUUCAUGUAGAGGAUUGCUACAUAGGACAAGAAGGCAGAGGUAGGGGGCAGUUUUAGCUCUGCAC